rnacentral:rRNA from 1 species
GCAUCCAUGUCUUGUAAUUGGAAUGAGUAGAAUUUAAAUCCCUUUAUGAGUAUCGAUUGGAGGGCAAGUCUGGUGCCAGCAGCCGCGGUAAUUCCAGCUCCAAUAGCGUAUAUUAAAGUUGUUGCUGUUAAAAAGCUCGUAGUUGGAUUUCUGCCGAGGACGACCGGUCCGCCCACUGGGUGUGUAUCUUGGCUCGGCCUGGGCAUCUUCUUGGAGAACGUAUCUGCACUUGACUGUGUGGUGCGGUAUCCAGGACUUUUA